rnacentral:lncRNA from 1 species
GAUGGAGAGCUUGAAUGAAGAAAUAACAUGGACUUGUAGCAUAAUUCCCCAGAACACAUGCAAGGCACACUUUCAGACUCUGAAUAACCACUCCUUGUAAUGCCAUGAAGUGGGAGACAUAUGCUUUUUAUGAAAAUUGUUAUUGAAACAUGAAGAGGAAGAAAACAGCAUGGAACAUUCAGCUCCACAGGACCAAAUGUUAAUACUGGCAAACAAACUGAAU